UACAGAGGUGGCAAGCGUUGUUCGGAAUUACUGGGCGUAAAGGGCGCGUAGGCGGCUUUUUUAGUCAGACGUGAAAUCCCCCGGCUUAACCUGGGAACUGCGUCUGAUACUGGAAAGCUUGAAUGCGGGAGAGGGAUGUGGAAUUCCAGGUGUAGCGGUGAAAUGCGUAGAUAUCUGGAGGAACACCGGUGGCGAAGGCGGCAUCCUGGACCGACAUUGACGCUGAGGCGCGAAAGCUAGGGGAGCAAACGGG
rnacentral:rRNA from 1 species